rnacentral:tRNA from 1 species
GCCCGGGUGGCGGAAUAGGUAGACGCAAGGGACUUAAAAUCCCUCGGGAAAAACAAACCCAUGCCGGUUCGAAUCCGGCCCAGGGCA